UAACCUGCCCAAGAGAUCGGGAUAACACCUGGAAACAGAUGCUAAUACCGGAUAACAACAGAUGAUGCCUAUCAACUGUUUAAAAGAUGGUUCUGCUAUCACUCUUGGAUGGACCUGCGGUGCGUUAGCUAGUUGGUAGGGUAACGGCCUACCAAGGCGAUGAUGCAUAGCCGAGUUGAGAGACUGAUCGGCCACAUUGGGACUGAGACACGGCCCAAACUCCUACGGGAGGCAGCAGCG
rnacentral:rRNA from 1 species